rnacentral:rRNA from 1 species
UGCAGUCGUACGAAGGCUUCGGCCUUAGUGGCGCACGGGUAAGUAACACGUGGGAACCUGCCUUUCGGUUCGGGAUAACGUCUGGAAACGGACGCUAACACCGGAUACGCCCCCCAGAGAGAUUUGGGUGGGGAAAGUUUACGCCGAGAGAGGGGCCCGCGUCCGAUUAGGUAGUUGGUGGGGUAACGGCCUACCAAGCCGACGAUCGGUAGCUGGUCUGAGAGGAUGAUCAGCCACACUGGGACUGAGACACGGCCCAGACUCCUACGGGAGGCAGCAGUGGGGAAUAUUGGACAAUGGGGGCAACCCUGAUCCAGCAAUGCCGCGUGAGUGAUGAAGGCCUUCGGGUUGUAAAGCUCUUUCGCACGCGACGAUGAUGACGGUAGCGUGAGAAGAAGCCCCGGCUAACUUCGUGCCAGCAGCCGCGGUAAUACGAAGGGGGCUAGCGUUGUUCGGAAUUACUGGGCGUAAAGGGCGCGUAGGCGGCCCGUUCAGUCAGAUGUGAAAGCCCCGGGCUCAACCUGGGAAUUGCAUUUGAUACUGGCGGGCUUGAGUUCCGGAGAGGAUGGUGGAAUUCCCAGUGUAGAGGUGAAAUUCGUAGAUAUUGGGAAGAACACCGGUGGCGAAGGCGGCCAUCUGGACGGACACUGACGCUGA